AGAUUGAACGCUGGCGGAAUGCUUUACACAUGCAAGUCGAACGGCAGCACGGGGGCAACCCUGGUGGCGAGUGGCGAACGGGUGAGUAAUGUAUCGGAACGUGCCCAGUCGUGGGGGAUAACUAUCCGAAAGGAUAGCUAAUACCGCAUACGUCCUGAGGGAGAAAGCGGGGGACCUGCAAAGGCCUCGCGCGAUUGGAGCGGCCGAUAUCGGAUUAGCUAGUUGGUGGGGUAAAGGCUCACCAAGGCGACGAUCCGUAGCGGGUCUGAGAGGACGACCCGCCACACUGGAACUGAGACACGGUCCAGACUCCUACGGGAGGCAGCAGUGGGGAAUUUGGACAAGUGGGGCAACCCUGAUCCAGCCAUUCCGCGUGAGUGAAGAAGGCCUUCGGUGUAAGCUCUUCAGCGGAACGAACGGUCGAGUUACCUAAGUAAGGUCGACUAAUGACGGUACCUGACAGAAGAAGACGACCGUACUAACUACCGU
rnacentral:rRNA from 1 species